rnacentral:tRNA from 1 species
CUGGCGCUGGGGCGGGCCGAUGUGUUCGCGCCGGGUGAUCUGGCGCUGCAGGAGGCCGCGCGCGGCAUCUUCGGGUUCGAGGCCCGACCGUCGGA